rnacentral:rRNA from 1 species
CCCUAUAGAAUUUUAUUAUUAAUUUGAUUAGUUUGAUUUUUGGUAAGUUUUAUUUGAUUAAUCUUUUAAUAAUUUUGUUGGGGUGACAGUGAUAAUUGAUUAACUUUCAUUUUUAUAUUUUCAUUUAUUUAUGUUUGUUUUGAUCCUGAAUUUUUGGAUUAUAAGAUUAAAUUACCUUAGGGAUAACAGCGUAAUUUUUUUGUAGAGUUCUUAUCGAUGAAAAAGAUUGCGACCUCGAUGUUGGAUUAAAGUAAGCUUUUGGUGUAGUAGUUAAAUGGCUAAGUCUGUUCGACUUUUAAAUCUUUACAUGAUCUGAGUUAAGGCCGGCGUGAGCCAGGUUGGUUUCUAUCUAUAAUUGUUAUUGAUUAUGUUUUAGUACGAAAGGACCGAAUGUAAAUAAUAAUUAUUUGUUUUUGGAUAAUAUUA